AUGAACGCUAGCGACAGGCUUAACACAUGCAAGUCGAGGGGCAGCACAGGUAGCAAUACCGGGUGGCGACCGGCGCACGGGUGAGUAACGCGUAUGCAACUUGCCUAUCAGAGGGGGAUAACCCGGCGAAAGUCGGACUAAUACCGCAUGAAGCAGGGGCCCCGCAUGGGGAUAUUUGCUAAAGAUUCAUCGCUGAUAGAUAGGCAUGCGUUCCAUUAGGCAGUUGGCGGGGUAACGGCCCACCAAACCGACGAUGGAUAGGGGUUCUGAGAGGAAGGUCCCCCACAUUGGUACUGAGACACGGACCAAACUCCUACGGGAGGCAGCAGUGAGGAAUAUUGGUCAAUGGCCGAGAGGCUGAACCAGCCAAGUCGCGUGAGGGAUGAAGGUUCUAUGGAUCGUAAACCUCUUUUAUAAGGGAAUAAAGUGCGGGACGUGUCCCGUUUUGUAUGUACCUUAUGAAUAAGGAUCGGCUAACUCCGUGCCAGCAGCCGCGGUAAUACGGAGGAUCCGAGCGUUAUCCGGAUUUAUUGGGUUUAAAGGGUGCGUAGGCGGCCUUUUAAGUCAGCGGUGAAAGUCUGUGGCUCAACCAUAGAAUUGCCGUUGAAACUGGGGGGCUUGAGUAUGUUUGAGGCAGGCGGAAUGCGUGGUGUAGCGGUGAAAUGCAUAGAUAUCACGCAGAACCCCGAUUGCGAAGGCAGCCUGCCAAGCCAUGACUGACGCUGAUGCACGAAAGCGUGGGGAUCAAACAGGAUUAGAUACCCUGGUAGUCCACGCAGUAAACGAUGAUCACUAGCUGUUUGCGAUACACAGUAAGCGGCACAGCGAAAGCGUUAAGUGAUCCACCUGGGGAGUACGCCGGCAACGGUGAAACUCAAAGGAAUUGACGGGGGCCCGCACAAGCGGAGGAACAUGUGGUUUAAUUCGAUGAUACACGAGGAACCUUACCCGGGUUUGAACGCAUUCGGACCGAGGUGGAAACACCUUUUCUAGCAAUAGCCGUUUGCGAGGUGCUGCAUGGUUGUCGUCAGCUCGUGCCGUGAGGUGUCGGCUUAAGUGCCAUAACGAGCGCAACCCUUGCCACUAGUUACUAACAGGUGAUGCUGAGGACUCUGGUGGGACUGCCAGCGUAAGCUGCGAGGAAGGCGGGGAUGACGUCAAAUCAGCACGGCCCUUACAUCCGGGGCGACACACGUGUUACAAUGGCGUGGACAAAGGGAGGCCACCUGGCGACAGGGAGCGAAUCCCCAAACCACGUCUCAGUUCGGAUCGGAGUCUGCAACCCGACUCCGUGAAGCUGGAUUCGCUAGUAAUCGCGCAUCAGCCAUGGCGCGGUGAAUACGUUCCCGGGCCUUGUACACACCGCCCGUCAAGCCAUGGGAGCCGGGGGUACCUGAAGUCCGUAACCGCGAGGAUCGGCCUAGGGUAAAACUGGUGACUGGGGCU
rnacentral:rRNA from 1 species